rnacentral:rRNA from 1 species
UACGUAGGGGGCAAGCGUUGUCCGGAUUUAUUGGGCGUAAAGAGCGUGUAGGCGGCCAGACAGGUCAGCUGUGAAAACUCGAGGCUCAACCUCGAGACGUCGGUUGAAACCGUCUGGCUAGAGUCCGGAAGAGGAGAGUGGAAUUCCCGGUGUAGCGGUGAAAUGCGCAGAUAUCAGGAGGAACCCCGGGGGCGGAGGCGGGUUUCUGGGGAGAUACUGGCGCUGAGGAGCGAAAGCGUGGGGAGCGAACAGG